UACGAAGGGGGCUAGCGUUGCUCGGAAUCACUGGGCGUAAAGCGCACGUAGGCGGCUUUUUAAGUCGGGGGUGAAAUCCUGGAGCUCAACUCCAGAACUGCCUUUGAUACUGGGAAGCUUGAGUCCGGGAGAGGUGAGUGGAACUCCGAGUGUAGAGGUGAAAUUCGUAGAUAUUCGGAAGAACACCAGUGGCGAAGGCGGCUCACUGGCCCGGUACUGACGCUGAGGUGCGAAAGCGUGGGGAGCAAACAGG
rnacentral:rRNA from 1 species